UACGUAGGGUGCAAGCGUUAAUCGGAAUUACUGGGCGUAAAGCGUGCGCAGGCGGCUUUGCAAGACAGAUGUGAAAUCCCCGGGCUUAACCUGGGAACUGCAUUUGUGACUGCAUGGCUGGAGUGCGGCAGAGGGGGAUGGAAUUCCGCGUGUAGCAGUGAAAUGCGUAGAUAUGCGGAGGAACACCGAUGGCGAAGGCAAUCCCCUGGGCCUGCACUGACGCUCAUGCACGAAGCGUGGGAGCAACAGG
rnacentral:rRNA from 1 species